GACGAGGGGUCCAAGGGUUGUUCGGAAUUAUUGGGCGUAAAGCGGGUGUAGGUGGCUCUAUAAGUCAGGAGUGAAAUCCCCGAGCUCAACUUGGGAAGUGCUUCUGAUACUGCAGAGCUUGAAUGUGGGAGAGGGUAGUAGAAUUCCAGGUGUAGUGGUGAAAUACGUAGAUAUCUGGAGGAAUACCGGUGGCGAAGGCGGCUACCUGGCCCAACAUUGACACUGAGACCCGAAAGCGUGGGGAUCAAACAGG
rnacentral:rRNA from 1 species